rnacentral:rRNA from 1 species
GACGAACGCUGGCGGCGUGCUUAACACAUGCAAGUCGAACGGUGAAGCGAGUGCUUGCACUCGUGGAUCAGUGGCGAACGGGUGAGUAACACGUGAGUAACCUGCCCAUCACUCUGGGAUAAGCACUGGAAACGGUGUCUAAUACUGGAUACGACCAACCCUUGCAUGGGGUGUUGGUGGAAAGAUUUAUCGGUGAUGGAUGGACUCGCGGCCUAUCAGCUUGUUGGCGGGGUAAUGGCCCACCAAGGCGACGACGGGUAGCCGGCCUGAGAGGGUGACCGGCCACACUGGGACUGAGACACGGCCCAGACUCCUACGGGAGGCAGCAGUGGGGAAUAUUGCACAAUGGGCGAAAGCCUGAUGCAGCGACGCCGCGUGAGGGAUGACGGCCUUCGGGUUGUAAACCUCUUUCGGCAGGGAAGAAGCGAAAGUGACGGUACCUGCAGAAGAAGCACCGGCUAACUACGUG